rnacentral:rRNA from 1 species
CCUACGGGUGGCAGCAGUCGAGAAUUUUUCACAAUGGGCGCAAGCCUGAUGGAGCGACGCCGCGUGGGGGAUGAAUGGCUUCGGCCCGUAAACCCCUGUCAUUUGCGAUCAAACCUCGUUAUUUAAAAGAUGACGAGCUGAUGGUAGCGGAAGAGGAAGGGACGGCUAACUCUGUGCCAGCAGCCGCGGUAAUACAGAGGCCCCAAGCGUUGUUCGGAUUCACUGGGCGUAAAGGGUGCAUAUCUGGUGGGAAAGCUCGGAGCUCAACUCCGAAAUUGCAUUGGAAACUACCCGGCUGGAGGGUCGGAGGGGGGACUGGAAUUCUCGGUGUAGCAGUGAAAUGCGUAGAUAUCGAGAGGAACACCAGUGGCGAAGGCGAGUCCCUGGACGACACCUGACACUGAGGCACGAAAGCUAGGGGAGCAAACAGGAUUAGAUACCCCAGUAGUC